UAAAGUCAGGUCAGGUCAUGUGUCGUGUCAAACCCUCCCAACCUGUAACCCAACAGCCUCAACCCAUCAGCCCAGCAUUUGGACUAACUGGGCUACGCUAACACGAGCUCUAAGGCUCUGUUGUAGUUAAACUCAGUCAGAGGUGGCCCACAGAUGCUGCCAGAUGGCCCCCCUGCAGCCUGCUCCUCAGGUCACAGAGGAUAUGGGCACUGUUAGGGCAAUGGCUGCUAGCUGGCUCAGGCAUGGGUACAGCUGUCCCCGUUCAUCGCUCUGCGAUGCCAGUUUCAUCAUUAUGUUGAGCUGGUCUGUAUUCUGACACACAUUAAAUGGAAAACACUGAUCAGGGUUCCUCAAUCAUGUUUCUGUAUAAUUCCCCU
ensembl:lncRNA uncharacterized LOC115373138